rnacentral:rRNA from 1 species
AUGAACGCUGGCGGCGUGCCUAAUACAUGCAAGUCGAGCGAACAGACGAGGAGCUUGCUCCUCUGACGUUAGCGGCGGACGGGUGAGUAACACGUGGAUAACCUACCUAUAAGACUGGGAUAACUUCGGGAAACCGGAGCUAAUACCGGAUAAUAUAUUGAACCGCAUGGUUCAAUAGUGAAAGACGGUUUUGCUGUCACUUAUAGAUGGAUCCGCGCCGCAUUAGCUAGUUGGUAAGGUAACGGCUUACCAAGGCAACGAUGCGUAGCCGACCUGAGAGGGUGAUCGGCCACACUGGAACUGAGACACGGUCCAGACUCCUACGGGAGGCAGCAGUAGGGAAUCUUCCGCAAUGGGCGAAAGCUUGACGGAGCAACGCCGCGUGAGUGAUGAAGGUCUUCGGAUCGUAAAACUCUGUUAUUAGGGAAGAACAAAUGUGUAAGUAACUAUGCACGUCUUGACGGCACCUAAUCAGAAAGCCACGGCUAACUACGUG